CUGCAGAACUCAACAAAAAAGCCAGUGAUUGGGAGGUUUUUGUGGUUUGUGUGGGCAUUAGCCAGUGGUCAGAUAUGAAACUCACAGGACAAACAAAGACCAUGUUCAUUAACAUGACAGUGCUGCAUGACGCAUCUUUAGUAACUGCAGGGUUGUGGUGAUUUAAAUUAGGCUACUGCUUUGUUUAUCCAUUGGGAAAUAGAACCAACUAAAUUCAUUAGAACAUAUUGCAGGCAGAUACAAAUGUUUACAUUUUUACAAGUCCCAUGCUUAUCUCAAAUUGAGAGCAAUUUUGACCUGGAGCUGAGGUAGAGGUACUGUUAGAGCCAGAGUCUACAGACCAUGGCAUUUCUGAACUUUGUUCGGUGUUUUCUAGGUUUUCAUGUUUAGGCCACGCCCACAUUGGUUUAAAUCCAACUACAGAUACGGAUAUUUGGAGCGCUAAACAGAUACAGAUGGUUGCAUAGCGUUAUACCCUGAUUACAGUUAAAGGGGACACUGGCUUCAACAAGCUUCAAAAACUCCUCCUCUAAAGUCUUUGCUUUCACCUGUGGCUUGGCAUCAUUUCUCUAAUCAUGGUUAUGAGGCUGUGAGAAAAAACCUGCUGGUCUUUGACAGCUCUCCCAGUGGAGCAUUUGUGGUUAUGACUGCAGAGAGGGAAAGUGCUCUGGUUCUCAUCAAAAAUAAAUGAGAUCGAGGGGAUGACGCUCUCUGAGACCUAAAUGAAGAUAUUUUACACUUUAAACACUUCGGAGGAUCAUCUUUCUCUUCUGUGUUUAUUUUAAUAUGAAGCUGGUGAAAGAAUAAACCCAAACUGAAAAUGUUAUUCUUUGAGUUUUCCCUCUAAUCUGUGGACGAUAAACUCCAAGCUGUCAAGAAAAAACUAUUGCUGUACGUGAUAUCAUACUCAUGGUCACAGAAGAAAGACUUUGGCAAGGCUCAAACACUGUUUUGGUAUAUAACUGUAUAACUGUAUAACUGUAUAAAAGAUAGCACGUAAUAAACAUUCAAACAAAUGCAAUGUUAUUCAUAAUGCUUAAUAAUACCUGUGUUCAGAAGAGGGGCAUUUCAAUAAAAUGAGACAGAUC
ensembl:lncRNA